CCUACGGGAGGCAGCAGUGGGGAAUAUUGCACAAUGGGCGAAAGCCUGAUGCAGCAACGCCGCGUGAAGGAUGAAGGGUUUCGGCUCGUAAACUUCUAUCAAUAGGGAAGAAAGAAAUGACGGUACCUAAAUAAGAAGCCCCGGCUAACUACGUGCCAGCAGCCGCGGUAAUACGUAGGGGGCAAGCGUUAUCCGGAAUUACUGGGUGUAAAGGGAGCGUAGGCGGCAUGGUAAGCCAGAUGUGAAAGCCUUGGGCUUAACCCGAGGAUUGCAUUUGGAACUAUCAAGCUAGAGUACAGGAGAGGAAAGCGGAAUUCCUAGUGUAGCGGUGAAAUGCGUAGAUAUUAGGAAGAACACCAGUGGCGAAGGCGGCUUUCUGGACUGAAACUGACGCUGAGGCUCGAAAGCGUGGGGAGCAAACAGGAUUAGAUACCCUGGUAGUCC
rnacentral:rRNA from 1 species